AUUUACUUGAUCUUGACACAAUCCUACUUGGAUAACUGUGGUAAUUCUAGAGCUAAUACAUGCAUUAAAGCAUCUGACCUAACGGGAAGAGUGCAUUUAUUAGAACAAAACCAAGCGGCUUCGGCUGUUUCUGGUUGACUCAUAGUAACUGAGCUGAUCGCAUGGUCUUGUACCGGCGACGUGUCUUUCAAGUAUCUGCCGUAUCAACUUUCGAUGGUAGUGUAUCUGACUACCAUGGUGAUCACGCGUAACGGAGAAUAAGGGUUCGGCUCCGGAGAGUUCGCCUGAGAAAUCGCGAACACAUCUAAGGAAGGCAGCAGGCGCGAAAAUUACCCACUCUCAGCACGAGGAGGUAGUGACGAAAAAUAACGAGACCGUUCUCUUUGAGGCCGGUCAUCGGAAUGGGUACAAUUUAAACCCUUUAACGAGUAUCUAUGAGAGGGCAAGUCUGGUGCCAGCAGCCGCGGUAAUUCCAGCUCUCAAAGUGCAUAGAAUUAUUGCUGCGGUUAAAAAGCUCGUAGUUGGAUCUGUGCCAUAGGACUGGGUCUACCUUCGGGUACGUACUCAGCUCCUAGGCUUUUUGCUGGUUUUCCCGUCGUAGCCUUCACUGGUUGCGGCGGGUGGCUGGCGAGUUUACUUUGAGAAAAUCAGAGUGCUCAAUACAGGCGUAUCGCUUGAAUGAUUGUGCAUGGAAUAAUAGAAAAGGAUUUCGGUCCUCUUUUAUUGGUUUUGUGGACUGAGAUAAUGGUUAACAGGGACAAACGGGGGCAUUCGUAUCGCUGCGUGAGAGGUGAAAUUCUUGGACCGUAGCGAGACGCCCUACUGCGAAAGCAUUUGCCAAGAAUGUCUUCAUUAAUCAAGAACGAAA
rnacentral:rRNA from 1 species